rnacentral:rRNA from 1 species
CCUACGGGUGGCAGCAGUGAGGAAUAUUGGUCAAUGGACGAGAGUCUGAACCAGCCAAGUAGCGUGAAGGAUGACUGCCCUAUGGGUUGUAAACUUCUUUUAUAUGGGAAUAAAACAGGGUAUGCAUACCCUCUUGUAUGUACCAUAUGAAUAAGGAUCGGCUAACUCCGUGCCAGCAGCCGCGGUAAUACGGAGGAUCCGAGCGUUAUCCGGAUUUAUUGGGUUUAAAGGGAGCGUAGGUGGAUUGUUAAGUCAGUUGUGAAAGUUUGCGGCUCAACCGUAAAAUUGCAGUUGAAACUGGCAGUCUUGAGUACAGUAGAGGUGGGCGGAAUUCGUGGUGUAGCGGUGAAAUGCAUAGAUAUCACACAGAACACCGAUUGCGAAGGCAUCUCACGAAUCCGCGAUUGACGCUGAUGCACGAAAGCGUGGGUAUCAAACAGGAUUAGAUACCCCGGUAGUC